AUGGAACAAGAGCUGUCCCAAGUGGAAGCCAGCAAUAGCAGAGCCGUGGUGCAAGGAGAAGAUGAGAAGGAGGAAGACGUGUGCCAAGGGGAAGAGGAGAAGAAAGAAGAGCUGUGCCAAGGGGAAGUCAGCGGUGAUGAAGAGCUGUGGCAAGGAGAAGAGGAGAAGAAGGAGGAGCUGUGUGAAGAGGACGAUGGCAAGAAGGAAGAGCAGUCUGAAGGGGAAGAGGACAUAAGCUGCAACAUCGGGGAUAAGCCCUUAGGCCCGGUGAACGAGGGGCUCCCUGGCACUUCUCCCCAGCAGCUGCCCAGCUGCCCCAGCACUGUGGGCACAGAGGCAGCAGCACAGGCAGCUGGUGACCUGCCCAGCACAUCUCCUGCCCCCGCUGGUGCCACGGCCUCUGAGGCAGCAGGUGCUGAGCUGGCCAGAGCUGCUGGGAAAGAGGAGCAGCGUGCAGCUCUUGCUGCCCAGGCCCAAGAGGCGUCAACGGCAGCAGCUUCUCCUGCCUGUGGCGAGCAGCUGAGAGCUGCAGGCCAAGAGAGCCAGGCAGCUGCCCCAGCCAGCCCCUGCUGCUCAUCCAGCCCCUUGGCAAUCUUGCUGGAAGCCCAUGGCCUGAGUGAGCAGGGGGCAGGGACAGUGGGUGUGUCAGUCCUUGCAGGGCCAGAGAGCCAGGAGGAGGCCUUGAGCAUGGAAGAGGAGGAGUGGAAAGACAAUAUGGAGCAAGAGCUGUGGCUGUCCCAAGGGCAAGGUGACAGAGACGUGUCACAAGCUGAGGACAAGACGGAGCAAGAAGUGCCCCAAGUGGAGGACAGGACAGAGCUGGAAGGGUCCCCGGUGGAAGAUGGCAGAGCCCCAAGGUUGAGUAGUCCUGCAGAGAGGCUCCCUGUGCCUGCCCCUGAGCAGACCCCGGCAUUUGGCCAGCACAGCCAGGUGCCAGGGCAGGCCUUGGCCAGGUCGAUGGAAGGCCGUGGCCUCAGCGAGCAGGGGGCUGUCCCCCAGCCAGGGCUCUCCCGCUUCAGGCGGGCGCUGCGGGCUCUGCGCAGGCUGUUCCGCUGGCCCCGCAGGGCGGCACAGCCACAGCACCAGCGCCCCACUGCCAGCGCCAGGCCUCCACUUGCCACCUCACAGCCCUCCUCUUAG
rnacentral:lncRNA from 1 species